AUUGAACGCUGGCGGAAUGCUUUACACAUGCAAGUCGAGCGGCAGCGCGGCCUUCGGGCUGGCGGCGAGCGGCGAACGGGUGAGUAAUGCAUCGGAACAUGCCCAGUCGUGGGGGAUAACACUUCGAAAGAAGUGCUAAUACCGCAUACGUCCUGAGGGGGAAAGCGGGGGAUCGCAAGACCUCGCGCGAUUGGAGUGGCCGAUGUCAGAUUAGCUAGUUGGUGGGUAAAGGCCUACCAAGGCGACGAUCUGUAGCUGGUCUGAGAGGAUGAUCAGCCACACUGGGACUGAGACACGGCCCAGACUCCUACGGGAGGCAGCAGUGGGGAAUUUUGGACAAUGGGGGCAACCCUGAUCCAGCCAUUCCGCGUGAGUGAAGAAGGCCUUCGGGUUGUAAAGCUCUUUCGGCAGGAACGAAACGGUGGGCUCUAACAUAGUCCGCUAAUGACGGUACCUGAAGAAGAAGCACCGGCUAACUACGUG
rnacentral:rRNA from 1 species